UGGACUGGGUUCUGAGCUGGACUGGGUCCAGUAUAAAGCCUUGGGUAAAUAAACUUUUGUUUUAAUGCUGAACAGCUAGGUUAAUCUUACCAACGCUAAAGUGGAAUCACAGUGGCCCCAGUGGAGAAAUUUUAACCUGAUAAAUGUAUCCAUUUUUGGGAUACUCUUGAGAAAAAGGAGUAUUGCCCAAGUACUCACCAUAAAGGGUGGAGGAGAAAUAAUCUUUCUUCCUCUACAGUUUCUGGUGACCAAGAUGAGAUCCACUGGGACACCCCACUCACUCCAGAGCCUGCAGAUAGGAUCUGGCGAAAACUGAUAGAAAUCAGCAAAAAGUAAGAAUCCUUACUGAAGUCGGCUCUCCCAGAUUUCCCUCUAUGGUACAUAGUGGAGAAAGGAAGAUAAAAUCGUUCCUUUCCAAAUUCAAAUUGUCAGGAAAAACAUUUGUAAGCAUUAGACCUUUGAACUGUGACUCAUGGAUUUGCUUCUGGGUACCAAUUGGUUAUUGAUCCUUUCCCAGAAACAGUUAGUGCCUUUUUAUUUUCUAGUGGUGUGUGCUGAGAGCCUAGCUUGCCUUUCUGCCUGCCUGGACAUGUAGGUUCUUAUAUGCACAGGCAGGUGAACCUUCAGGUUGGGGGCUCUAAAAUAUGGCUGAACAGAAGUGUGUAAAAAAGAGAGUAACUGUGACUUAAAGUAAAAUGACUGGUCGUUCCAGAGUGAGAAGGAGGAAAAGAAAGAAUGGAUAAGAGUGUUGCAGGAAAGGAAUCUUGGGAGAUUCAUGGAAAAGACUCUGAGAACAACUCUGGAAUACAGAUUUCUGAUAACUUGAAGAUCAUGGAGCUGAAUGGGAGAAGAAUUUCCAGAACUAAUGGAAAAACUGGAUUCAAGAAAAUGAGAAUAAAAAGAUAUUGAAUGAAAUGAUGAGGAUAAUUAUGAUUACUUUUAUAACUUUUUCUGUGAAGCAUUCCUUAUUGUUUUGAUUUUCCAGAUUUAAGGGAAGUUUCUUCUCUUUUUUCUUAAUUACCUAUGACUUAAUGUUGUCAAUAUACCUUUGUCAAAAGAAUGGAAACAUUUACUUUUUCUCCCUAUAUAAUCCCCCCAUAAUUCAGAAACUUAUUGAGCAUUCUUAAUUUCAUAGCAAUAUAAUUAUUUGCACAACUUCAAUAGGAAUCAGAUC